rnacentral:rRNA from 1 species
AUUGAACGCUGGCGGCAGGCCUAACACAUGCAAGUCGAACGAGCGGUGGACGGGUGAGUAAUGUCUGGGAAACUGUCCGCUGGAGGGGGAUAACUACUGGAAACGGUAGCUAAUACCGCAUACCAUCGGAUGUGCCCAGAUGGGAUUAGCUUGUAGGUGGGGUAACGGCUCACCUAGGCGACGAUCCCUAGCUGGUCUGAGAGGAUGACCAGCCACACUGGAACUGAGACACGGGCCAGACUCCUACGGGAGGCAGCAGUGGGGAAUAUUGCACAAUGGGCGCAAGCCUGAUGCAGCCAUGCCGCGUGUAUGAAGAAGGCCGUGGGGUUGUAAAGUACUUUCAGUGGGGAGGCGUUACCCGCAGAAGAAGCACCGGCUAACUCCGUGCCAGCCGCCGCGGUAAUAC